rfam:Parcubacteria group bacterium CG2_30_44_18 cg2_3.0_scaffold_11170_c, whole genome shotgun sequence.
GGGGAUGCACGGUUUCGACGAGAAGCAUCCUAAAAAUGCGCGAAUCGAGUCUUCUAAAAACUCGCAAGACCGGCGCACCAAAACUGGUGCAACGGACAAACUUUUAGAAAAACAAUAAGUGCAAACUUAUUCAACCCAACUCCUGCCUUAGCUUACGCUUAGGUAGGCAUCCGGCUUAGCAAUUCUCGAUAGCUAAACCCCGGGUGUCAUAUUAUCGAGAUUGAUUAGCAUCCUGCUCUAGGGGAUACUAAUGACCAACACUAGAUGCGAAUCAAAGGCGUUUUGUCUGAUUCUAAGCUUUUGGUUCUAAGACAAAUAAAUCGGACUACAUUCGUAGACGCGUUUUUAGAAACUUUUCAGACGAGGGUUCAACUCCCUCCAUCUCCACUC